ensembl:snoRNA U3 Small nucleolar RNA U3
AGGAUUAUUUUUUAAGGGUCAUUUCUACAGUUUGUUAUUAGAGAAGUUUCUUCGUUCUUGCAGAGCACUGAAACCAUGAGAAGGGGCCAGAAUAUUCUCUUCUAAGCAUGAAGCCAGAUCUAGGUGUUGCUUCUGCAACUGCUUUUUACCGUUAACGGUCAUUCUUCUCUUAUUUUAAAAUAGGGAGAGGGAGAGGAUACAGUAUGAGUGA